rnacentral:lncRNA from 1 species
UUGCCGUCGUCGCCGCGCGUCUAAUCUCCGCUACGACACUCCGCCCCGACGCCGACCGCGCACAUCGCAUACGAUCGCGCGCGAGACCCCGCGAUAUACCUGCGAUCGCAGUGUUCGUUUUCGCGGUAUUUUUCGUUUUGAUCGAGUGUCCCGUUCCCGUCGCCUGGACAAUACGAUCGCGUCUCCUAACGACUGCCAUGGAUCGUCCGUCUUAUAGGUAACACAUACACACUAUUAUAACAAUAUCGGAAAAAUAAAAAACAAAAAUGUUUUGGAGGUCGACACUUGUAACUAUUAAGGACAAAUAAAAAAAAUAAUACAAGUCUGCGGUAUGGUGAAAAAAGAGCCGAAUGUCUAAAAGAAAAAAAAAACAAUUAUAAAUUGGAAAAAAAACCGAUUUUCGACAUUUAUAAAAAUCUAUCCUGCAGUCCAUAAUUAUUGUAUUUUUUUUUUACCGUGUUUAAAAUUCGACCUGAAAAACAUUUCCGUGGCGCCGUGUCAACUAAUUCAUUAUUAUGAUGUUUAAGAACCUCAAACAAAACAUUCGAAGAACAAUUAUUAAUUUAGUUUCAAAAGUCGCGGAUUGAAUGGAUAUUAUGUACUUUUAUAAACAUAUCCCACACGUAUUUAAAAUGCAAACAAAUAAUAAAAAAAAAAAAACAAAACAAAAAUUAAAACUUAAGCAUUGUUCUGAAGUAUACAACACAUGUAGCCCGUAAGAAUUAUACGCGUAUUAUACUGAUUGUUCAAAUCGAAAUUCUAACGAAACUAAAAAUCCCCACUACAUUGGCUGCUAUACAAUUUUAAAUAGAUUUUUUUUUUUUUUAAUAUCAUUCGCGUUUAAAGCUAUUUCCAGGGAAUACCGAUGAUUGAAAAAAUAAAUAAAUACAAAAUACAAACAAAACAAAUAAGUACAUCGACAAAUUGAAAUUUGUUCAAUCGCAUCAGUUAAUUGUAAUAAAAAUCACGUUAAUUUUGUGUAAAUGUCCGCUAUUAUUAUUAUUUUUUUUUUAACCAUCAUGAAUCCGAAAUAUAAUUCACUGUUAGAUAAACAUGACUGCCGUGAAGUGUAUAGAAACAUAAAAAGAACGAAUUUUACUGUGAGGAUACAUUCAAGUAAUAACGGUAUCAUUAUUGUUAUCUUUUUCUUUUACAAUACCAUUAAUUCAGCCGUCUCGCAUUAUUAUUAUAUUUUUAAACAUUUUUUUUUUCACGUACUUAUCUAAUGAUUUGUUUGCGAGCAGAACACACUAUGUUCGGAAAUUUCGUCUUAAUAAUAUCCUUCCGUUUUAUAAAAGUUGACCUGUUCGCUAAUAAAACAUCUAAUUUUCGAGGUCAGUAAUUUUAUACGAUAUAGGUAAUAAUAAAACUCGAAAUUGAUAAUACGCGUCGUUGAAAACCCCGAAAUUCGACCGCUUUAAAAAAAUCUGAUUAACGAGUAACAUGUAUACGUUUUUAAUUUUUUAUAAAAUAUUUUCACGGGUUUAAAUUUUUUUUCGAUGACUGGUUUUUACUAUAAUUGGUAAUGUUAUUCUCAUUGUAAAACCGUUUUGUACUUUUUAUAGUAGUAGUUCAAUAUAAUAUUGUUGUUAUUAUUAGGUACCUAUAUUAUUGGUAUUUUUUUUUUUUACAUAAACCUAUUACACGUGAAUCGUUUUAAAAAAAUAUAUCCGCAUAUUUUCAGUCUAUUUAUUUUAAGUUUUAUUGCAUCGAACAUAAUUUUUUUUUCAACCCUACCCUCAUAGUAUCCUACACCUAUCUAUUUCAUUUACUUUAGCCUAUGCAGUUAAAUUAGCGCGCGGAAACGCCUUGCGCAAGAAAUAUAUAAAAAGAUAACACUCCGAGUCACGUCAUAAAAUAAAGUUAGGUGCAUGAAAAAAAAAAAAAAAAAUGGAUUUAGACACGCGACUUUGAAAUAUUAUUAAAAAAAAAAAAAAAAAAAAAAAAUAUAAUAAAAACAAUAAUAGAGACAGUAAAACAAAAAAUUGUAAUGUUUUCAUUUAUGUUUUUACUUAAAAACUAAUGAUAUGAUUUAUUAUUAUAAUAUUAUUGUAGUCAUAUAUUGAUUAUUGAUGUUUUAACAUGGUUGAGAUGCGUAGAUGGGUAAAAUUUAUCUGGAUAAAGAUUAAAAAAAGUCGCUAAAAAAUCUUUUAGAACUGAUAAAUUGGUGCAUUUAAGUUGACAUUUUUUAAGUUUGUUGUAGUUUCUCUAUGAUAAUUGGGGAAAAUCGGGAACAAAAACAUAGGAAAAACGGUAAAACGUACUGUUUCUUUAUUUUCGAUUCUCUAUUUUUCUGGUAAUUCAGUUAAAUAUAAUCGUAGAGAUCUGAAAAUGUCACAGAAUAUGUCUUAUGUUAGUCUUUAAUAUCGACGUGGUAAAUAUAAAAAAAUCAAACAAUUAAAGAAAUAUAUUGACAUUUUCUAUUUUUGAUUCCUGGUAUUUCGCCUAAAAUGACGUGGCGCAGUGUAAUUAAGUUGCAUUAGCAGUGUAGAGGGGAAAAUUUAGAUGGUCUUGUGUGGCACCAACGGUUGUGGUGAUUAUGUGUGCAGGUGCGAUGUUAUAGGUGAUGUUUUGUGCUAGGCUGUUGUUUUUGUUGUAUUACUAAUAUGUAAUUGAUAACUAAUUAAUAUGAGUUGUUUGUGUGAUUUGCAAUACAGUGUUGCUUAACCGAUUCCCGUUCAGAAUCUUUUUUGUAAAAAUUAAAAUAAAAUAACUUUUUGAUUCCUAUUUUCCAACUUAUUGCCUAUACCGACUAUUCGCUUUUUAAAUUGUUAAAUGUUAAGAAUAUUAUUAUAAAAUGUAAAUAAUAGGGAGGUAAAAAUGUAAACGAUUAAAAUAAUUUUUUAAAUUCAAAGAGUGUAAAACUGUUCGUAGUCUCUAGUUUAAGUAACUACGAAUUUUUAAUAAAGAGUAAAACAUAAGUAUUAAGUAUAUUUUUUACUAUGCGUAAAAAAUUUGUUUUAUUAGACAUAUUUUAUCUUAGAUAACAUAAAAACAAAUCUAAACAUUUUCAUUUGGAUAAUAUCAAUAAAAAAUAUCAUCUAGAUAAGUCCCAACACUACGUUUUAGAUCGUAUGAUUAGGAAUUAUUAUUAGUGGUUCGUGGCCAAUAUAUUUCUCUCUCAAAAGUUUUUGGUCUUCUAUACAAAUAGUAUUAUCGGCACCAAAUCGAACUAUUAUUAUUCGACAAAAACUUUAUUCCGGUAAAGUCAAAAGACUGCUGCAGCAAAAAUCGAAUUAAUUCCCGUUCUUGCUAUGUUUCCCAACCUAUUCUAUUUUACGCUCUCCUCUUAUAAAUCUUCGAAAAUUCUACUUCCUCUUUUAGUUGCCCUCCGAUAAAAAUUAUUGAUUUUUUUGGUGUUUUUGGUUUUACUAGGCAUUAUCAGUGAAUGCAUGUAUAAAUUAAAGAUUAAAUGAUAAAUGUUAAUUACUAUUACUUAUUAUUGUUAUUAUAAAUUGGUGUGAUCUCUGAUAUUUAUGUUUUUUACAAGUUCUUUGAGACUAGGUUUUAUUUAAAAAAAAUUGCAUGGUCCCAAAGAAGUCUGAAUGUAAGUUGAGACACACUAUUCUACAGAUAUCGUAUUGAAAAUUAUGUUUUAUAUUUUUUUUUACUACGUCGAAUGACACUACAAGUUUGCUUGAAAUCUGAUUUUUAGUAUUGUAUAUAAUAUUGCAAAAGAAAACAUCGUUAUAGAUAUAUUUUUUGUAUACCAUUAUUAUAAAAACAAGUUUCGACUAAUUAGUUUUUUUGUAGUUCGGUGCAAAAGUUAAUUUUUGUACAGGUACCUAGGUAUCUAAAUAUAUUGCAUUUCAUUUGAUUUUAUAACCCGCUUAAACAGAUUAUAUUCACGUGCAAUGUAAACGCAUUUGAAACCUUAUAGCUAAUUAAAAUUUUACUUUUAUAUUCUUAGUUGUGAAAAAAAUCAUGUUAUAAUAAUAAUAAUAAUAAUCAUAAAUAUAAAAAAGAGUGAGUAGGUAGGUAUUCUGGUAUUUGUAACACGAUUUAUUUAUUAUAAUACUGCAAUACUGCACGUCAUGUACACUAUGGGUUUUACAAAAGUGAUAACACGGUAUACUUCAGCCAGAUGGACUUAGAUUAAAAUGGUUUUUCGCAAGAUAGGGGGUCCCAAAAUACAUAUUUUAAGUUGAUUUUAUACAUUUUAACCCUUGUGAAUUGAACCCUUGAAAUUUUUUGUAGGUAUUAAAGACAUUUAAUUUGUUGAUAAUUGAUAUUUAAAAAUUGUUAGCUGUCUUGUUUAUUCCUCCACACUCACAUUCUGUUUUGCUUUUACUUAUCCUUAGUCUCUUUUUUUCAAGUGCUACGUUACAUUUCUCAAUUUUAUUGUUAAUCUAUUCCAGAUUUUAUCCAACGGAGUUGUAUUAUCUGCAAAAAACACGCGCUAUGGUUAAACGCUAGGAGGUAUCCCUUCAUGUGUUGUCACUAAGCAUAGCUGAGUUGGACCUUCUGCCAAAAUCUUAUUUAAAACUCCUCACAAUAUUUUCCAUAAAUUUACACCGGCUGUUAUGACAGGUAGAGAUACCACGGGAGUAUUCUGAUCCCCUCGCACAGGGAGAUGGCAUUGUAAACUAUAAAAUGAAUUUCUCCAUCUUACAGAAAAAACAUCAUAUGGCUUACUGGAAUUAUUUACCUAAACUUUCCACCAGGAGAUCAAAGCCACGAUUCACUAAACUUGUAAUAUCAUAUGCAUCCCUGAGAUAAAAAUUAUUAUUACCUAUUGGUAUACUUUCAUUUUGUGAACAAAGAGGGGAACAAAGUUUAUUUUUACGACAAAUCAAUUCCAGUAUAAUGUUAACAUUUAAUUUUAUAAUACUUGAUAUCUGAAAAUAAGAAGUUAGACGAAUUGACAGACAACGUGGAGAAAAACUAUAUUGGAUCUUUUUUUUUUAAAUUUGAUAUAAUUCGAAAAAAAAAUCAUAAUCAUUUACACAGAAGAUUUUUGAGAAUAAUAAAAAAGUCGCAUUGUUAAACACUAUUGCCUUGGGUCUGUUACUAAAAAUAAGCGUUUAUAUUUAAGCAAGUAAAAUAUUCUAUAAUUUGAAUUGAAAAGCAGCUCCUACAAAAAAAAAAACCCAUUUCGUUAUUAAACCAUCAGGCUAUAAUAUUUCGAGGUACUAUUUGAGUGAAACACUCAGUAUACCCGUUAUAUACAAAUAUAGGUAGGUAGAUAAUACGUGUAUUGCAUUUAUAUAUGUUGUAUUAUUCUAUGAGAUUUUGAUUGAGGCGAUUGGAUUACUAUGUAUUUAUGUGUGUAAACAACUUUUCUACCAAACAUCUCUUAUGGAUUUUUCAGUAUUAUAAUAACGCGUGUAAUUUGUGAGUAUAUUAUAUGCAAAAACUUUUCUUUUUCAUUGUAUACUUAAUAUUAUCAUUACAUACACCACCGCAGUGUUUGUUGUUAUUCGUUUCAUUGACCUAUUUAUUCAAUGUUUCGCCAUAGCAAUAUUUUAGAUUUGCAUUUAAUUUCGUGUAACCCGCGUGCGAGUGGUAUUUACACGUACCCGGUAAAACUCUACUUAUAAUAACAAGUCAUAUAAAAAACAUAAAACCUGUAAAGUUAACUCUAUUUAGUAUUGUUACCUAAUAUAAUUCAUCAUUUAUUCGCGAUUUCGAUGUGAACACGAAAAUGAUUUAAAAUAACGUAUAUAUAUAAUUAUAUUAUUAACUAUAGCUAAUUAAUUAUCAUUACAGUGCGGUUGACAAUGUAUCAUCUUUUUUAGCGUACGAUUAAGCGCGCUCAAAAUGAAACAACAAAAAUAACCAUUGACCCUAAAAACCAUUGACUACGAGUUCUGUACAAAACUGUCAUUUAUCAGUAACGUGGUGGUAUUAUAUAGACAAUAUUUAAAAACUCAUGUUAAAACUAAUGUAAUAAUUGAAAAAUACAUUCGUCAAAAUUUAUUUGGUCUCUUUUUGAUCAACAUAUAAUUUUUUCAAAUAAUUUUUCUACAACGCCUGACGUUCAAUUUUGGAAAUGGUUUUCGUUGAAUAACACUGCUCACACAAAACUAUGUGAACGGCGUAAUUUUCAUCUUAUGUUAACAAACUUACUGUGCCUUUAUAGUUGGUGCAUUUCACGUCUUAAUAUUGUCUUUUUUCCUCUGUAAAAUAAACUAGUAUUUGUAGGAUUUUAAAAUAAUUAAUAAUUAACACAGUUUUUACCCCGUUAAGAGGAUAUCAUUUUGGUUUGAUAAUUUUCCAUAAAUUUUAAUAAAACUUGCAUGCAAAUCGAUCGCUUAUUUAAUUUGUUUAGUAUUUUGUUUUGUUUUAGAUUUUGAACAUAGCUUUACUCAGUAUUGGAACUAGGAUUUUUUGCACGCGGGGAUAAAAUUAAUAUUUGCCCUACGUGGUGUUUUCUAUUCCCCUAAACACCCUAAUAUUUAUAAUAUUCAAAACUAUAUUUUCCAUGUCCUUAAGACAAAUUUAAUUAAAGUAGUUUCACCAGCAAAUAUACAAAAAAAAAAAAAAAAAAAAAAAAAAUACGUGAAUAGGUCCCUAACAAUUUUAUAUCUUGAUAUAAAUCCCUGUUUCCCUCCUGGUUUCGGAAAUAGUUUAACUAUGACGUGUUUUAAGAAAUUUGAGACAUUUUUUUCUUUUACUACAUUAAUGCUUUUGUUUUUGUCUGUGUACAAAUUUUCCAUCACAUAACUGGCUACAAUUAAAAACAAUAAACUAGUUAGCUAAUAAUUAUUAAUGUCUUUUCUGUUGGCGUUUUGGUUCGAGUUAGUUCAUUGGGGAAGUAAUUCUUUGAUUUUUCAUGUAGUUUUCUCAAUUAUUAAAAAAAAAAACCGGAAAUAUAGGAAAAUAAACGGUUUUACUGUUUUUUUAUUUUAUAUAUUUGUAAGAAAUUGAUCGUAGGAUAUAGUAGUAAAAAUAAUUGUAGGGAUCUGAAAUUUGCAUGUGGUACUUAUCCUUUUAUCUGAGUGGUAAAAUUUAAAAAAUAUUUCGUCGAAUUUUAUUCUAUAUUUAUAGACAUUUUCCAGUUAUUUUGAUUUUAUUCGAAGAAAAUUGUUUGGACCAACAGAAAUAUUUAAAAUGUUUACUUAUUGAAUAUUACUACACAUAGUGGAUACUUUUUCAAACAUUGUUUUGUAAAUUGUCCUGCUAUAUGUGAUGGGAUUUAUUUAAUAACUUUAUAAUACCGUUUAAAAUGAUUUUUGCCCUGGUAUAAUAUUAAUAACUCAUGUACCCGAUCAUCUAAAUGAAAAAAAAAAUAAGUUCAUUUAUUAAUUUAUAUAAAUAUAAAGUAAUGAGAAAUAUCAAAUUUUGUUAAUGAAUAUGUAUUUGUUGUAAAAUGUUGUCAAGAAUUAUGGUAUUUCAAAAUAUCAAAGCUAACUUCAGAAUCUUUUUUCGGUAGAGAUAAUUUUUUUUUACGUACAGAUAUCAAUUAAAUAACUUUAUAUAUCUUCCCUUCUUAAUUUUUCACCUAAAACAGUAGCACCCGUACCAGUAGUAUCAGCUCUUUUGAAAAUUCUUCUUCCAUAUUUUUUUUUUUGCAGUUAUUAUACUUUCUAUAAAUCAUCAGAUAAUUUUUAAUAUGUAUUGUUUUCUCGGAUUAUAUUAUUGAAACUAUCAUCGUGUAAUUUUGCGUCUCUUUAGUUUGUUUUUAUAUUGAAUUUUUCUUUUCUUUCAAAUGGACAGUUUUGUCAAAAUAUCUCAAAUAUUAGAUUUUAAAAAGAUUUGUAAAAAAAUUUAUUUAAUGUUGAUAAUUAUUUCUGUAUGUACCUUAAUAAAUUUAUUUAUUUAUCAAUUUAAUUGCAUUGCAGGUAGGUACAUAAUACAUUUAUAUAAGACAAUGUUUGAUAACCUUUAUAGAGAAUUUCGGUUUUUUUCAAAAAAAUGACAUUCGUGACUUUAAGAUUUAUCAGUUUUCUUUUUCAAUACAGUAAUUAGUUAAUUUUAUUGUUUUAUAACAGAAAACUGUAUUUUUCCUAAAAACCAAAACAAAAAAAAAAUUGUCAAUUGUGAUAUUUUAUUUAAAAUAUAUGUAGUUUUAAUAAUUUCUUAGUUAUUAUAGUUUGUCGCUUGCAUUCAUUUGUAAACCUAUCACAUAUGAAAAUGUACGCAGUUAUUUUAACUAUUCAAAUAUGUUCAAUGUCUAACACACAACUGCUUGUAGAUUUUUCUUUGAAACUUAGUAGAGAUUGAAUUGAAAAUCUUAGAUAGGUUUGAAACUAAUAUAGGUAGAUAAAAUAACGCCAUACUUUUCAGUUAAGGUUUAAUAAAAUAAAAUAAUUGUCACAGAAAAAAACUCAGAAAUUUGUUUAGAAGCCAGGAUUUGACCUUCCUAUGACCGUUAACUAAACGCCUAAAACAUAUCUGCUUAUGCCUACCUAUCUGCUUAUAAAUUAAUGGAUUGAGUACUUUAGUUUAUAUUUUAAAAAUGGGUAAUUUAGAUAGAACAAUCAACCGAAAAUUUGUAAUAUUGAUGGCAAUAGUCGAAUAGAACUAUUUAAUAAUUGUAUUCAAUUUGAUCGCAAAAUAUCAAAAAUAUUCAAUCAUAAUUAAUCACAAGUUAGGAAAGACCACUACGAGCGUGCUGAAUUCCCGGUUUAAACAAUAUAUUAUAAUUUCAUAUUAAUUAUAUGCAAUUUAAAAAGAGUUUAGUAACUUUAAUAUGAUUAUUGGUUAGAAAUUUAAUUGAAUUAAACGCUGUUACUCAUUUAGGUUAAAUCAGAUUGAUUUGUAUUAUUACUGCGAACAAACAUCCUUCGUAAUCUAUUUAAAACAAAUUAAUAAUACCGAAACUUUUUGUUGAUAAAUAACGGGCUGAUGAACACAAUGGAUAAAUAAAGUGUUGUAUAAACUAUCUUAUAUCAUAAAUAUAAUAUGUACUAGUAAUUACGGAAGGACACAAUGGGGAUAUAAGGACGUGUUUAGAAACCCAUUAUGUUUAUUUUAGAAUACAUACUUGAUUGUUUUCUGUGUAGUAUCCAUAUCAUAAGAGAUACCAAUACAAAUUGUAGAUAUGAAAACAUAAUCGAUAAUAUUAUAUACAGGAUUCUUAUGGAGAAAAUUAAAAGCUUUUUUUUUUUUAAAGCGUUGGUUUGAACAAUAUCAUAGGGUGGUUAAAUUUAGUAUUAAAGUUUUUGUUAAACUCUUCUCUACAUUAUAAACUGUCGCAAUAUACAGGGCUUUUUAGACACAUUGUUUCAUUUUUUUCUCCCCGAAAAGUCACUGCACUUAUAAUAUAUUUAUACUGUCCGUUCUUUUGGUUGUGUUUUAAAAACCCUCCGUGCAGUCGAAUAUCCACUGUUUGGUGAACGUAUAAAUUAGCGUCGUCGUCUUUUUAUCUCAACCAUCUUUCAUGACUCUGCUACCACCGCCGCUAUCGUCAUCGUGUAGUUCUAUGGUUUGCAUUAUCGAAAACCGUGCAAUAAAAAAAUUAUAUUCAAAAUUUUGAAUGGUGGCCAAGAACCCCCCGGAAAGUCGUAACAUAAAUUAGGUUUGAAAAUCGUCUAUGGGACAGACAGUAUAUACAUUAUUAUUAUAAAACGAGUUGCCGAAAGUGAAUAAUAAUAAAAACAAAAUUAUUUAUAUAAUAACGUAAAGAUGCAAUUCACGAAUGUAUUAUUAUCAUUAUUAGUUUAUGUUCGCGUUUCGCAUAUUUACAUCGUGUGCUUUACUUGAACUACCGUUAUAUAUAAUAAUAUUUCUUGUUUAUUUAUUGUUACUACAAUUAAUAUUCCACCCGGAUAUACUUGGAUUGAAAUAGAGUUUAUGGAGGAAUUUUUUUCAAAAUUCACGAUUUGAACCAUUUUUUAAAAAUAUUUAUAAAAUACAAAUAACUAUAUUAUAUUAAAUUUCAAACAGUGCAAAUUAAAAGCUUUACACAAAAAAAUGUAAUGAAAACAGUAAAUAUUUCGUGUACAAAUUUCCCUAUUAACAAGUCACAACAUUUUAAAAUCAAAACAUAAUCAUAGUUGUUCAUCAUGAUGGACUAAAAUUAAAUUAACUCGAAAAUUGUAAGCUUUUAUUAGGUCUUUCGGUUUUUCAGAUUUAAACUCCUAAACGAUUCUUUAAUUUUAACCCAACGUAUCCAUAAGUACCAAAUUUUUUUUUAGGAACUUUUUAGUUUUUUUCUUCUGAUUCUAGUUCAGGUACUCAGUUAUUUUGCUUAAAAAUCAGAACCUUUAAGUAUUAAUACAGAUUAUUGAAAAAUGAAGUCCUUAUAAAACCUUAGAGUUUCGUUUAAUACCGGUUCCGAAUCGGUUCCAAAAAUUGUUUUUAUUAUUUUUCUUCAGUAUCUGUGUUCAUGAGCUGAUAUUAAUUACAAUUAUAGUAUUUUAUUGAUCUGUAUUGAGUACUCCUUUGAAUAUAGGUAGAUAGGUUGAUAUACAAAUCUGGAGUAAAAAGUGAAAAAUAAAUAUUCGAUGUUUCACUAUUUUAUUAAGUUGUUUUGAUAAAUAUUCAUUUGAAAUAUUAAAUUAAUGGUAGCUGACUAGAGAACAUUAAAUCGGCAUCUACUGUAUCCGACUUAAAAACGCGCGAUAGCAUGUUUUUGUUCAGUAGGAUAAAUUGUGUGCAGUUAGUUUUAAUAUUAAAGAGAACUGGCAUAUUAGCAAACUAAAUUAAUAGAAAAUCAACUGUGCUUUGUAUUGACGUAUAUUUCGAUAUUUAAAUUUUCAAAAGAGAUAUAAUUAUUUUUGAAUUGUGAGAUUUCACAUACUCAUAUCAGUGAAAUAUACUGUAUACUUUGUUGGUUGCGUUUGUGAAAAUAAAUAAUUCUAAAAGUUAACGGGUUUUCGAGAAUUAUUGCCCGUAGAGAUAUAGUUUUCCUGUUUUUUUUUUUCGUUAAAUCACGGUUGGUUCUAUAUCAUAACUAUAUAUUGCGAUAUGGAAUUUAUUUUUUAUUUAUUUUCCAAAACCCUCGCCACACAGUAUGAUACCGAUUGACUUUUGGAAUAGUAAACAACUUUCGUACUUAUGUUGUUCGUACGUUGUUUAUUUAGUACUCACCGAUGUUACAGAUAUUAUAAUGUAUUACUUAUAUUUAUACCCCUUUAAUCUUAAUAUAUGUUAGGUGAUUCGUUCAUGGACCUAUUCAAUAUUAGAAAAUGUUCGCUAAAUAACUGUUCAAUAACUCGUUACGAAUUAAAUAUGUAUUUAUUUUUUAUUAAUACUACCUAUAUAAUAUGAUAUACUCAAUAUAAUACUAGUUUUGACGAUAACGAAAAGGAAAACGAACGGAAAAAAAAGAGCUGAUACUGGGGACGGAUGCAGCCACUAUUGUGGGUGGGAAUUUUGGAAGGUAGGAUGCAUAAGUUUAUUUCAUGUAUAUCUGUAAGUAACGAGAGACCAUUGCAGACUGUUUGUCUGGAAUUUUCGGUCGCUCUUAUUAAUGAGAAAUAUUUUAAAUAAAAUCAUAAAUCAUAAAACGAUUAGCAAAUGACAUCAUAAAUUAAUAUAAUACCCAAACAAUGUUAUGGAACCAAAUUUCUUGAGACAAUAUUUUGAAUUAUGUAAUUUUAACACUGAAAAUUCUUGUGGUAUGAUGUAUGAAACAUAGACGUAAAAUUAACAAAAUUUCCUGAAAAUGCAAAAUAAAUGUUUCUCUUUUGAAGUACGUGUAAAAUAGUACCUAAGAUUAUGAUAGACGCAGCGAAUUAUGUGCAUUUGAAAUGCAUUGUCCUACACCCAUAUAGAGCAGCCGAACCAAAGUACUCUAUGCGUUGAAAUCCGGACCCUGUAGUAAUAAUAAUAAUAAUAAUUAAGAUAUUUACAUAUUAUAAUGUUAUUUUAUAACACUGCCGAAGAAAAUAUUUAAUUUUAACAACGCGAAGGAAUUUAUUUAAUAUUACCGAACCGUCUACAAUAUAUAUAUAAAUAUUUGAUUUCAACCGUGUGGUAUGCAAUACGCGAAGAGGUGACUGUGAUGAUAUAUAUAUAUAUAUAUAUACAUAAUACAUAUAUAUAUAUAUAUUUUUCAUAUUCUGCAAAAUGAUUGCUUAUUUUCUUAUUUAUUUUCGACGCGUUGGAAUUUUUUAUCAAAAUUAUCUAGUAUGAAAUUCACCCGAGCGUAAAAAUUUGUUCGUACACCAUAAACUCAUUGAAUUAGGCUAUAUAUAUAGAUAUAUUUUUAAAGUAAAUAAAAACCAUUAUUAAAGCUUAUAUUGUAUUUGAACGGUUUUUUCAUUAUUAAUCUAAUAGUUUUAUAUUUAAUUUUUAGUGAGAUUAUAAAGCUAAAAAAAAAAAAAAUGUUAAUAAUUAAAUAUUUUGAUAAGAAACUGUUAGUAAAAUAUCAACGAUCAAAAUGUUGUAGCUAUCGAACAAGGUUAAACUCAGAAUCUAAAAAACUAAUUGAGUAAACUCAGACGUGUUAGAUUGGGUAUACCUAUGGUUAUAUCUCAUAAAAUAACCAUUGCUUCAGUUUUGUUUUCAUACCAAUAGAUAGAUAAUAUAAUCUAGUUAUUUUACAUAAGGUAUAUAGUGUCCUAAACAUAGCAAAUUCCUCCAAGAUAACUGUGAUUAUGAUAUAAACAAAAAUCACCACGUGUUUUUAAAAAGACAGAACAUUUGCUCAAUAUUCCUGUUAGAGCUGAACAAUUAUUAUCAGUGAUGUUCUCAUCAAUUUAUUUGAGAGCAUACUCUAAUAUAAAUCUUUAUUAUAUCCUGUGCCUGGCAUAAGAUAUUUUAUAAUUUUCUCAUGGUUUAUUGAUACCUUCUGUUAAUAAGGAAGUAGAUAUCAAUGAUACACAAGUUAAAUUGAAAUUAUUAAAACAAAACAUUCACAAUUUUAAAAUAAAAUCCGUGUAAAUCUGAAUUUGUAAGAAAAUUGUGAAUUUUUUUAUUAUAAUUACUGAAAUAAAUACAUUGUAUUACUAUUAUUGUUUUAGUGACAUAGGUAAUUGAUAUGAACAGACGAUGAUAGAAUUGUAUCUUUGUGGUAUACCCUAUGGAAAUCCCACUGAUUAUUAUAUUGGUUUUGAGUGCUAGUUUUGAUAGAGAUAUUUUAUAGUCAAUACUUCCAUUUUUACAUUUUAAAAACAAUUGAUAUUUUCAGCUAUGAAAUAAUAUCCUCUUAUAUUUGUAAAACGGUCAUAUUCAAAUCGCAAUGAAUAAUACAAAUUAACAUCUAAUUUAACAACUUUGGCUGAAAACAAAAUAUUUGUUAACAUUUACAAAUUACAAUUGUAUUAUAUAAUUGAUAUAUUUUAUGAUAAUAUUAUUUACAUUUCAAAACGUAAAAUCCUAUUAUAAAUGUAAGAUAAUUAUAAUUAUACAAAGUUUUUAUAAGACUUGCAAUAUUUAUGCAAUAUUAUAUUAAAUUAACAUUCAAAUUUAUAAUUUGUUGAAUAAUUUCCAUUUUUAGAUUCCGAGCAUAGCGAGGGAGCUAUUGGUUUUACAAUGCUGUUUAUCUUUUCUCCUUUGUUCUUUGUUCUAAUCUGUGGACACGUUUUUUCCUGGUAAACUUGCUCCGGAUAUAUAAAUGUAGCAAAUUUUACGAAAGCUCAAGUUGUCUAGAUUGUAUAUUAAAAACUAAAUUUUUUGAUUUUUGACACUAUUUUUGUAAAUAAAAGUACUUAAGUGGGAAAACAUUCAUUAUAUUAUAAAAACAUGGACGCCGUUUUCAACCAGAAAACACAAUUUAAUCGAAAAGUCAUAAAAUAUCUUUUUUGUCACAUUUUUGAUUUAAUUUAUUUCCUUUGUUAUCAUUGCCAGAACUUUUGAGACACUUAUGAGUUUUAAACGAAUUUUAAUUUUUGAAAGUUUUUUCUAUAAUUCAAUUUUAAAUACACUUAGAGAUAUGAAACUUGAUAUUAAUACUAAUAUUAUUGGACUUACCUAGAAUUGGUAAAAUGAUAGCUCACUGAUUUUUCUGGCUGUAUCGCCAAAUAUGUGAAAAUAACAAUACCUAUGGUAAUCAUUUAAAAAAAAAAAAUUGAAUUUCCCCAAAUAUUUUGUGAAAUGUCGAAAAAAAUGUAUUCUUGUGAAAAAAUGUUUAGUAAUUUAUAUUGAGAAAUGUGGGGAUAAGACCUCCCGUGGCUUUAAAACAUUUUUUGGAGGAGGGGGAAAUAUUUUUAGUAUUAUUUACAUGGUUUUAUUGAGACAGUUAAUUUACAUUUUUUGUCCUUUGAUAAGCAUUUAAAUGGGAAAGUAAUUUGUCCGAAAUAUUAUAAAAAAAUUAUUUUUGACCUCGUUGAUUAGUUUUUUUCACCAUAUUGGAAAAUUGUUGAUUUUCUAAUAUUUAUUGACAUUUUCACUAUUUCAAUUUCUUUUACAUAAUUUGUAUACACCUGAGUAUCCACAUUAAAUAUGAGUUUAUAGUAGUGGCAUAUUUAUUGUUGGGGGGGGGAGGAGGCAAAUACAGUGGUGACUUUUUUAAUAAUAUUUUAAUGUCUAAAUAAUAUGAUUUAUCGCAAAUCAGAAAAUAAUAAAAAUUAUUUUUAGUAUAUUUCUUAUACUGUAUAAUUGCACUAAACUUUUAGCUUAAUAGUUUACACAAUUUUUUUUUAAAAUUUUUAUUUAUGAAAAAAAAAGAGUAUUUUUUUAGAUCCUAUUUUGAAAUAAAAUACAUUCAUAAUAUAUCAAAAUAAUUUUAUUUAUAAAUGUAUAGAGAUAACAAUAUUCUUGUUUUUAAAAUUAUGAUUGAAAUUUGGUAUUGAAAAUUAAAAACAUCAGUGAGCACAUAGAUCUGUCACUAAAUAGUCGAAUUUUUUCUCAAUCGACUUGUUGCUGUUUCGAUAUUUUAUUAUUAUUACGAGUACUGAUAUUAUUAUUAUUUAUAAUUAUUGUACUACUCGUAAAAUACUUCUUGAUUUUCGAGUUUUUCACUGGUGUUCAUAAUAUUAAAUUAAUAUAUACAGGAUUAUUUACUAAACUAAAAAACUCAUUAUCUCGAAAAGUAUAAACUUUUUUCGGAAUUUGUUUUAUAGAAUAUUUAGGAUGCAAGCAGCUCUACGAUUUGACAAAUAUAUUAUUUUUUUUCACGUUUAUUUUGGGGAGUGAAACGACUAUCUACUUCUCAAAUAGCAACCUAUACAGUGCUUGGUUUCGAAAAAAAAAGUAGUAGAGGUACUUAAGCUAUUUUAAAAAUGUAGCAUCUCUAGGAUUUUGGUUUCACUGCAUUGUAUUUGUAUUUACUAGACACCCAUUACCUUUUCUAAUCAUCCUUUUUCCUUUUUUACUGUCUACUCCUUCUUUUCUAUUUUUCAGGUAUCCUAUAACUUUCCGGUGUAUAGAAUUUAACAAAACAAUUUGUAUUAAAAUAGUAAAGUUGUACUCGAGAUUUGUACUAAUCACUGAUUAUUGAUGUGUAAAGAAUUCACAUAAUUAUGAUGUAAAGGGGUUGAGGGGCUUAUACUUAUACCAAAAAUAUUUUGCACCUAGUGAGUUAAUUCUCUACGGGCGUCCCUGAAUCAUUUAACAUGAUAUUGCAUAUGUGUCAAUACUAAAUUCACUGACUCUACAGUACGUCCUGUUUAUGAAUUUGCAGGGACGGUUCCCACGGGAUCCUGUCAAUUUCGAAUAUAUUUUCUAUUCCCUUUUCAUUGUAAGAUUUUCGGUCGGUCUCCGGUGUGCAAUAUUCGUGUUGAUGAUGACGAACUACAUAAAGGGCGGGUGGAGUACCGAGUACCUUGAGAAACGAUAUAGCAGCAAUAUGUAGUAGUUCGUGUGAGACUUUUUGAUAUAAGUUCUCGAAUGAUGACGGUGGCCGGAAGGGAUGAGAUAAAAAUAAUAAACAUUAUUUUGAGAUUAAGCUUCAAAGAUCCUCACAAUUGGGUGCGCGCUUGUCCACUUCUCGUACUACGAUAGAAUAAAAUAUUAUACAAUUAUGUGGUUGUUUAGGAAACCAUAAGGCAAAAAUUAAUAAAAUAUUUUUGAUUAUAUAGACACCAAGUAGUAUUUCAUUUGUAUUAAAAUUGCUGGCAUACUAUGUUAGUUCUACCAUAUCAUUACCAUUUCUUCUUACUGUGAUGUUUGGUAACGAUUCCGCUCAUCUGCUGAUGCCCCAAAAAAAAAUUGCACCUAUUACUCUCUAUGCUGCAUGUCAAGCUAUUUAAAAACCAAUCUGACGCUAGAGUCUUUGUCGUACCGUUAAUCGGCUGGCCCGUUUACCAGCUACCCGUUUUUGGAAAUAUGUAUCCUACUACUGUACAAUGUGUUCGUUUAUUAAACCUGUCCUAAUUUAUAUGUAAGUCUUUACGUAUAUUUCCACAUGUAUUUUUCAUUUAACAAUGUCUAUAAAAACUUGUGUUUGUAUUAAUAAUAAUAUCCCUUUUUCUAUACGCGUAUACAUUUUUUUAAAAUAAUGAACCACUUCACGUGAACUGAAAAACAUUAACGUAAAACAUUAUACUUGUUUUAACAUUUUGAAAUGUACACAAUCUCAUAAUAUUGUGAACACAUACUCUUAAGUCCGUUGUUUGCUAUAUUGUAAAUCACACGCAUUUCAAAUUCCGGAUAUCCUGGUCCCCGCACAAUUUAAUAUUGUGAAUCAUAUAGUAUAGAACCGAAUCUACAUUAUAAUAAAUAAUAAAACUUUUGCCACUAUAAACAUUGCAUUAUUUAUGAAUCUCUUGUGAUAAAUACUUUAUUAUUAAUUUAACAAGAGCUGUGUUUAAUUUUCGUGAACGGCCAUAAAUUCCGUGGAAUAUUGCAAUAAAAUUGCAAUGAUUGUGUAUUUUUUUUUUAAAAUUAAAUCCAAAAACCUAGACUGGGUUGUGUUUUCUCCGAUUCCUGUAUUCAAACGCUUUUAAAAAUGUACCAAAAAGAUAAAAAAAAAAAAAAAAAAAAAAAAAACAAGAUUUUCCAUAAGAGAUUACCAUGUUUAUCAUUUAUUUAACAGAAUUAUUUUAACCGCGCUCUUUAUACGAAACAGUGGAUUUUGCUGAAUAUGUACAAUGUAUGAACUUCCUAUAUUACCAUACAUCACUAUUCGUUUGCUCUUGUUUAAACAUAUAUAUAUAAAAAAAACUAUCCUUUUGUUGUGAAACACCGUAGGUAUUGGUAUCAAAACAAAAAACCAUGUUCAUAAAUUUCACGAAAAUACGACUUCCACCAUUCUAUUUUCGGCAAACAUGUCAAACCUAGCACGGCAUUAAAAUAUCAACCGCGUAAAAAUUCUUUAAGUGAAAGUUAGUACAAUAAUAUUGCAUCUAUACGAUCGGCUAUUUUUUUAAUAUUUUUUUUUGAAGCUGGCAUGCUUUUUUGUAAUUUUUUGGACAGUGUCCAAUUAUCGAAAAAAGGGUAUUAUACUGUCAUGGCGCCAGCAAUUGUAGUUAAAAAAAAUAAAAACCAAAUCGCAAUGUACACGCAAAUUCAACACGUCAACAACGUCCGCCCAGAAAUCGAGUCGGUUUCGUAUUAUAAUCGAGUGGGAAAUAAUAGAUUGCAAAACUCUUAAACUGGAAAUAAUACUUAUUGUAAUGGAAUAAAAUAUAAUGGAAUUCACAUAAAUACUAAUUUUAUUGAAAAUAAACGUAAAGAAAAAAAAUCAACCAAAAAAUAUCUGGGAGUUUAAAUAAAUUCAUCUGAUAAAAAUCGCAAGUCCGUAACUCGUUAACUCGUAAUACAACCAAUAAGCUGACCAAUGAUUCUAUUGCUCCCAAAACAGUACCCAGCUAUUUGAAUCCAUACUACAUUUGGUUUAGAAGUCUUUACUAAUACAAUUUAUAUUAUGUCAUGUAACAUCUCAUUACAUUCUAUGCACGCGAAAUAUAAUAUACCACGAAAAAGAUAAACAAAAUCGUUUAACAUUCAAGAGAAACGCCAUGAGUCGAAUUUUUGGGCCAAGAGAUUAGAGCAUUGAAGUAUAUAGAUUUAGAAAAGGAUUUAUAUAGUACACGACACGUGUUGUGGAUGCGAAAACCAACGAUCCAAAAAGUAGUAAAAUGAAUUCCGAAUAGUUAUAAGUCAUUAGGACGCCCAUAGACAGAAACGGACAGCGAGUGCAUACGGAUUCAAACAAUGGCAUAGAAAUGCGGAGAAUGGCCGAUAAUAUAUCAAAAUUUCUGUUAUGAAAAUUAUUUUCCGAGAUUUUCUUUACGAAAAAAUGUUCGUUCCAGAAUUGUUUCCUUAAUAUAUUUUAGGAACACUGUCCAAUUUAUCGGUGUUUCUCUGCUUAACGCGGUUUCUGGCCCGUUUCCCUAGGGCUUGAAAUUAAUUGGUAUGCCGGGGUAUAUACAAUAUUAGGUAAUGACAUUGAGAAACGAUACGGUUAAGAUGAUAGGGUGGUGCACUAUCGCCACUCCGAUUUAAAUCACCGGACGACGGCGGUGACCGAUGAAACGCGAACAAAAUGAAUAAUCAUAAUUGCCUCGUGUCUAUAUGCGUUAUCGACGAAAUUCAAACGCCACUAGGUUUUUCAAAAACAACCAUUUCGCCAUUAGGCUGUAAAGUUCCGUCAAAUAGAAUAAUAAUAACCACUCAAGUGCAGUGUUUAUUUUCACAACACAACAAACUUUUUUUAUAGCUUCGUUGGGAAAUAUACGAUUUCAUCGGAUCCUAUACAUUUUAAAAUAUUAAGUAAAUAUUUUAUCAUUACAGAUUAACGUAUUUUACGAAAAUAAUAUUUACCUACAUUUAUUAAAAAAUAAAUUACUACGCUUUCAAUGUAAGUAUAUAUAUAUAUAUAUAAAAAGAAUAAACAAAAGAAAGAAGAAAAAAUAUAUUCAAGCGUCUAUAAUUAUAUUAUUUUAUUAUUUAUUGUUAUGAUGUUGUUACGAAAAUGAGAUAAAACGUUCAGAAAAUUAGACAAAUUAUUUAAAUAAAGUUUAUGACCUAAAAAAAAAUAUCACUUAACAUUUUUUUCAAUUAUUUAUGCUAAUAUUAAUAUAGAUACCACGACUUUAGCAUUUUCUAUUUCAUAAUAGAGUAAAGUGUAAAAUUAAAUAUUAUACCAACCAACAGCUUUCUUGGGUGUUGUUACAUUAAUUCAAGUUUGAGAUUUUAGCAUUCAAUUUCUAUUUAGAAAAUUGUUUCGAUAAAAUACGUAAAAGGUACAGGGAAAAAACCAUAGAAGUCACCUUUUUUUCAAACUGAGAAAAACGUGUUUUUAAUUUAAAAACGUAACAAUUUUCUUUUACAAGGUAAAAAGUUUGGAUUAAGUUUAAUGUUAAACUUUGAAAUGCGGUAACCACAAUAUAAUAAUGUGAUAUAAUUAUACUACUAACCAAGGCUAUAGUUGUGUAUUAGCCCAACAUUCACCUGGUUAUAAAUUCACUAACUGUGCUCAUUUCAUUUUUCCGGUUAAAUUUUGUAUAUAUUCAAAUUCUGGUUUUUGGAAUUUUUAAGUGUAGUUAAAGCCAAUAUUUUCGAAUACUUAGAUAUAUAAAAAUGAAUGUAAAUGAAUUCCUAACAAAAUAUCAUGGUAAAAUGAAUGUUAAACAGGAAUGAAAACUAAAUCGUUUUGAAAUGAAGUUUUUAUUCUCAUUUAGUAUUAUUCUCGAAAUUUCCUCACACACAUUUAGGACUCGACUUUAGUUAUCAGUAUUUGUACCGCGCAACUGCAUGUGAUGUAGCUACCGUCGUUUCCAAGUCCAUUAUAUUUUUGUAUAUUUUUUUUCUAUCAGAAAACUUGAAAUAAUCUAAAAAUUAAAAGGAAGAUUUGUUUGUAACAUUUAGAUCUAGUUGGUUCAUUGAAUAGAUUUUUAUUUUCAAUUUUUAUUCAAUUUUCAUAAUAUUCAAGGAGAAAAUGAAUAAGUUUAAUAAUUUACAACAUUGCAGCAAUAAGUUGUAUUAUUUUCGAUUUAAUUUUUCUGCUAGAAAUCUUGCUCUUAAGUUCAUUUUUUUCUGAAAGACAAUUUUGUCUGGUUAGUCAUCAGACAUUCAUAUUGUUAUCAGUAAUUUUUUUCCACCACUUCCACCGCUAUGCAGUUGAGUUAUCAAUUUUCAUUACGCAUCUUUUCAAACAAAAGAAAAUGUUCCAUGAGUAAAUGAAGAUUAAAUGAUGAAUUAUACAGUUUUUUUUUUAUUUGUACAGACUAAAAACUACAGAAAUAUUUUUUAUUUUGAAAUAUACGUGUUGUGUAAAAUUUGUUAACUUUUUAACGAACGCGUUAUCUAAAUUAUGCAUAUUAUGCAAAUUUAUGUAUAUUUUUCUUUUUUAAUUCGUUUUACAGGCCCUUCCUUCACCUCUUCCGCUAAAUUCCUCCACCUGAUACUAUUUAUUUCAUUAUUUAGUUUCGCUAUCCUCUUUACUUUAACCACCGUUUCCAGGUUCUUCCGCUGGAGUGUUGAUUGGUUCGUUUGUUGGCCAGUAAAUUUUGAAUUUCAUAAUAAUAUUUAAUUCUUUCGGCUCACCGUUCAUAACUAACUCAUUGUGUCACUUCUCCGAUCCAUUUCUGUUUACAGGAAUUAAUCCAAAUCAUUUUAUUUGUCUCGGAGCUCUUUUGGAGACAUCUGACCAAAUUGUUAACCAGAUUACUAUUCAUUACUGUUAUGAAUCCGGAGUUUAUAAAAAUAGCUACUAUAAGUAAAUUAUUAUUUGUAUUAUUUAUAAACUAGCACUCUGUUAUUAUUUCAUUUAGAUCGAAAUUUGUCAGCAUAGUUUUUAAAAAUUUUUUUUCUAACAAUUAAUUAGAAAAUGAAGUUUUCAAACGUGUGAGCUUCAUAACUUAGAUGUUGUUUGAUGUAUAUUUCUCUCGUUGCAUGUUGAAGUUUUUGAACACUUGUUCUUUUACUGUUGCUAUAGCUAAUAUCAUGCGCAUCAGAAUUAUACUUAAAACACCGUUAAACUUUUUUUUGUUAGUUUAUUCCAUACACUUUUGCAUAGAUUUUUAUUACUAGCCUAGUUUUGAAUUGGUUGACUUUUCUAAAUUCAUUAGUUUUACAGUUAUAAUAGUAAAUAGUAUAGUUCAUACAAAUAAACAUUAAAUGCAAUAAUUGUGUGCAUGCAUUUUCAUUAUUUUAUAAUCGAGUGGUAGGUCUAAAGAAAUAUCGAUUUAGUGUUAUCUAAUCUGAAACCCGUCGAAACUUUUUUCAUUUAAAUACGAUAUUCGAAAUCGUAAAUGGUUAUAGCUUGCAAUUUUUGUUCGUUUUAGCCAAAAAGGCAUUUUCGGUCUAUAGAGAUGUUCAAGUUGAAUAAUUUCUCUCGUGACGUUUUGACCAUAGAUACGUUUCUGACAUUCCGACAUUGCGAUACUGAUCCUUUUUUGUAACUGCGGAUAACCGAAAUGUCCAGUAUUUUAUAAAACGAGCACACAAAAGAACGGCCAGCACGACAAUGACAACGGCGCCAAAAUUAUAAAUAUAGAAGAAUAUAUAUAUCUACACAGGGUUUUCAGAAUUUCGUGUUACAAUUAAAUUUAACAUAGAGUAAUUAUUUUUUUUAAUUAAUUUUGUAAACUGUAUAUAUAUCCUAAAAUAUUACGUUAUCAUUAUUUUUUUAUUCUUUAAUUUUGGGUGUGAAACCACUACGCAUUUUUGAUUUUCAAAUAACGACCUGGACUAAAAAAAUCCAUAAAAUAAAGUUUUUUUUGAACACAUUUUUUUACUGACAUUUUUAAUUUUCGUAAACUCAUUGAUAAGAUAUUCUAAUUUUAAGUUUGGAUAGAAAGGAGUGUUAUGAAGCACUAUUCAAACGCCGAAUGCUUUGCUGCCAUACAAAUGAUAUUUCAUGAUGGUUUAUAUAAUUUUUAAUAUAGCUGUUACUGUUUGAAAAUCAAGUUUAUUGAGUAGUGGUUUCAUUCCUAAAAAUAAGGGUGAAUAAAAUAUAGACAGGGUAACAUUUUAGAACAUAUGAUUCUAUAAAGUCAUUUUUUGCAAAAAUAAGUAUUUCCUAGAAAAUUUGACCGGUAUAUAACCGUAAUACCUACAUAUAGUAAACUCGUCAAAGAUGCAGUAUAAUAGGAAAGGACGGUCGAUAAAUAACCCAUUCGAAAACUGGUGUGAAUGGAGAUUUCCAUGCGUGGAUUUCCGACCGAACAAAACAUUGCUUUCGGCACGUGCCCACCCCCGCCAUAGUUUUGAAGUGGUCUCACGGAAACGACACGUUCGCGUUAACAAUGUGUUCAGACGACGUCGACGGAACAUGAUAUAACAUAAAAACAUAUAUUUUAAUAUAAUAUACUUACACACAAUAUAUAUGUUAUAAAAAAAAAAGUUGACUUUUAUGUAUAUUAUUAUUAUGAACAAUAGUUACAAUUAUUAUUGUAUAAAAAAUUGUACGUACUUUUUGAAGAAAAUUUGUUAAUAAAUGAUAUGAUUAUGGUUUUACUAAGAAGGGUUGAAAUACAGUGAAAUAAGACGUUUGCUAUACAUUAAUUAUUUCGUAUUGAAUUCUAGUUUGUUUCGGUUUCGUCGGUUAUUUUGAGCACGGGAAAUGAAAUCAAAUUAAUCCCCUUAAAUUUGUUUCUACUAUAUAGAAUCUAAAAAUACUAAUCUUAAUAACAGCUGGUUUUGUUCUUGACGGUAUUUUACUUUGAUCACUGAAUAAGGAAUCGCAAUUCUGAUAUUUUUUAUUACAUCUUCAUUUACAGAUUCUUUGUCGUUAUCUUUGUUAUUUACUAUAAUGGACUUCAAGUAAUACUAGUAAAUACUAGUAAAUACUAACAUAAUAAGCAUUUUUUCUUCCAGCUGCAUCAGAUUUCAAAACCUUAUAUCUCUAAGGGUUUUCAAUUAUAUUCAAUUUCGGGAACUGUACCGCAAAAGACUAGUUUAGUCAAAAUACACAUACACUCGCUGAUAGUUUCCUUGUAAAAUUAUCAUGUAUUUUUAAAAUUUAAGUAAUUUAAGUGAUAUACAUUUUCUUCACGUAUAUUGCAGUGUUUUUUCUAACUUCUUGAGCAAUACUAGCAAUUCUGUCAGCUUAAGCUUAGAGAAAUACUUACCAAUGUAAUAAACUUUUGCUUUAUUUGAACCACAUAGCUGGAUAUUCAUAUUUCUGUUGUUUUAAUUUUCUACAUUUAUUUGUGUGAUAAUGAGUGAUACUUUUUUUUUACUAAUUAGUAAAAUUUUGAAUCUUCAGAUGGUAGUUAAUUCACAUGAAAAAACUUUAUUAUUUAUGUGCUCACGUUCGUUGGUAACAACAAAAUUUUGAAGUUCAUUAAACUUCGAGUUAUCUUCUAUUUUUCCUCCAAAUUAUCCUGUUAAUUUUAAACAAAGAUGUUAUAAUAGCAUUUACGUGAAUUGUGCAAUGUAGUGGAACGACGACUUAUUUCAACUAAAGUUUACCUACUUUUAUCGAUGUCAUCGAUUCAUGAUUGUUUGAUUUUACGUCUGGUUUUACACUUAUAAUUAAUAAUACCUUUUUUUUUUUUUUUAACGAACCAAUAUAGUUAUUACAGUUAAUGUAAUGAUGUGGACCAAUACAUUUGUUACAAGUUAUUCAUUUGUGGCUGUGCACCAAUAUGUUGAUGAAUCUUUUGAUUAGUUUUAAGUUGUUGGUUCGCAGAAUCCGUUGUUUGUUUACAUACGUAUUAAUGUUCUUCUAUAUUUUCAUAUUAGACUAUACAUCCUCUACCAGAAUUUGAUUCUGUCCUUUCUUGUAUUGCCCCGCAAAAGAAUUGGGCUGCUAGAGAUAUAAAAAUGUGUGUCAUACAUAAUUAAAUCCUGUUUAAUGGCAACGAAUUCUCAUCUCUAAAUAUCUAUCAUCAUGUAUUUAUAUGAUUCUUAGCAAAAAUGUUUUCUGUAACACUUUUCUCUGAGUUAAUAUAAUUUUCGAGCUUGUUUGAAUCCAAAGUUUGUCCGGUCCAUUGUCCAUUUGUGUAGUGGGUAUAAUGUAUAUGCACGUAUACUAUUAUCAUUGAAUAUCAUUGGAUAUCUGUAUAUUAUGAAGUGAAUACUUCAUUAUUACUUUGAUUUCUAGCUUAGCAGUUCAUGAAUCGUUGUUAAAUUUGUGUUAGGUGUUACCAUUUGUAAUAGAUAUUUUGUAUUUAUCAACAUAUGCAUACAUUACAUACAUUGUAUUGAUUUAUUUGUGAUUUUUUCAUAGUAUAUACAUUUUCGUAUCUUUUUGGCGUCUAUUCUAUAACAGCAGUAACCUACUUUUUAUGAACAUAAAUAUGAUUUAAAGUAUAAUGUUGGUUUUAGAAAUCCUUAUGUGCCAUCAUUUGUAUUAAUUUUUUUGAAAAACUGUUAAAAGUGAGUUGAGAAAAAUGGUCCAAUAACAAUACUACUGAACGGAAAAAAAAUGUCUUUCUGUGUGAACGUUUUGGUAAAUUUUUACUGACCUAAAUAGUAGUCGAGAAUGAAAAAAAGAAAACUUAAACAUAUCUAAGUAAAACUAAUAGCUGUUCAUCUCUCUACAUUCAGAAUCCGAAAAAAACAAUCCCUCGAGUAUUACUAAUUGUAUAAUUUUAAGCCCUUCUGUUAAAUUAAAAAAAAAAUAAAUUAAUUCAAGGAGACGCUUAAAAAUAAAAAAAUAUUUUUGCGCUUAUAUAUUUUUGAAAUAUUUCUGCCUAAUGAAAAUGUAUAAUGUUUCUUAUAUAUAUAAUAUCAUUAUUACACUAAUAAUACAUGAGGGAUACGUGAACGAUACAUUAUGCGACAGGAGGAAAGUCAUGUAAAAAACAAUGAGCUUUGAUGUUUUUAAGUUUUUUUAAUUUAGUAAAAUAAUUCAUUUCUAUUACACUAAUUGUAAUAUAAAACAAUUAUUAUAGUGUAUAGUUUACAGUGGGAUAGUUUUUGAAAAUGUCAAGAAUAUUAAAAAAAAAAUAAAAAGCUAAUACUGUAUGUUUGCCAUUGUUGUAGCUGGGAAGUUGGGAAGAUAAGAUACCAGAAGUAUUUUAAUGUACGCAAAAAUAAAUAUUAUGUAUUGGGACUUACGAAAAAGAAAGUAUAUCCCAACAACAGAUUUUCGAUAUUUUUCAAGUAUAUAAAAGUAGUUUGGGGACUCUCGUGUACAACAUUUUUGAAUAUUCUUCACGUAAAAAUUUAAAAAUUGUUCCCCACCAAAAGAAAAACCGAACAUCUGAAAAAAUGAUAACUACAAAUAACUCAACAAAAAAAAAAAAAAAAUAAUAAAAUAAAAAAUAGUGCCACAAAGACUAUACGGUUAAUAAUAUUAUUAUUCGAUUGAUAAAAAUAAACGGACAUCGGACAAGAGGACAAGGCCGUGGAGUAGAAUUAUUAAUAUCGUAACGGUCUUCCUAAAAUAAAACGAGAUAAGAUUAAAAGAAAAACAAAUUAAAUGAAAUAUAUUAUAAAAAUACUACAUCGGCGUGUGUAGCGAAUAAGAAUAUUGAGUUAAAUUUACGACGUCGUCGGGUUCUGGUAUAGUAAAUUUUUGGACGACGUGACCUAUAUAUUUGGCGAACCCCUCCGCGCGUCAUACCGUUCUGUACGCGAAUGACAUUGAAAUUUUUCAAACGAUAAAAACACAUUUUGAUUUUUUUUUUUUUAUUAAUUGGAACAUUCGUUUCACUUUCGAACGCCGUUCAACGUUUAUUAUUCGGCAAAUUAAUAUCGUUACCUAUUCGUACACAAACUCACACGCACACGAAAAAAAAGCAAAUCUAAUAAUACCAUACCUUCUACACAGAGUUAACGAAGUCGAGUGCCGUGUCAAGGUGCUCGAAGUCAAGACGACAAACUGUUAUAAUAUGCUACGACAGUACAGAAAGAACGUGCGGUUGAUUUAAACUAUUCGUUGAAUUAGAUCGCAUACUUCACGGGUUGAUAAUAAAAGUUCCCUCGUUGUAUUAUGGCUUCACAAUAUUCACGGAUGUAGACUCGGCUAUCUAUUUGUUAUAAUAUGAUGACUGAUGCGAUCGACGUUCGAUCAUCGCGUUGGGCCGAUAUUUUAUUGUCGUCCUAACUAUUUUAACGAUGCGUCUCCGUUUAUACGAAUUUAUACAAGCUUAUAGAAUAUUAUUGCGAUAGCUAUUAACUGCAAUAACGCGUAAAUCGACGAUUUUAUUAAUGUAUUUUUUUAAUUGCAACGAAAAACGCGUGUGGAGACAAUAUGUCAUACAAAACAACAUUAAUAUUUUUUACCAUGGACUUUUCUACCUCUAUUUUCGAAAAAAAAAAAAUACCGCUUUUCUCUAUUGUGUCAGGUAAAAACGCAUUGUAAGUCAAUUACAAUAAUACAGAAUGUCACAAAUUACUAUUUUUUUUUUUUUUUAAGUUAGAAUAAUUUAACUUUUUAACCUCGUUAUUACGUAGUUUUUGAGUGUUGAAAUGAUGCUGACAAAAAACUGGUGUCUACAUUAAUUGAAUUAUUAUUAUUAUUAUUUAUCGAAUUAUAUAUAGAAGAGAUGAUUUUUAAACGAUUUUUGUUAAAAUUUAAACUUUAAAUGAUCUGAUCACUCAAAUAAAUUAUUGUGAUAUACAUGUUCUAUAUUAGAUUCUGAGCGGAGUAAGGAAUGUAUUAAUUUUACAGUAAUGUUUAUUAUUUUUAGUCAUUAAGGAAAUAUGACUGGAGUGGUACUUUACAGAGAUCAUUUUUUGAUUUUUCCAGUUGUUUUUAUAAUAAAUGGAAAAACCGGGAAAAUGUACUAAAUUUAUUAAAUUAAAAUCGAAAAUAUUACACAUUUUCAAAACAAUGUAUGACCGAACUCCACUCAGAUCAUAUUUCGUUAACAAUGGUUAAUCGUUGCGUACAAACAUACAUUCAAUUCCCAUAUAUAUAUAUUAUCUUCCCAACUUCUAUUAACUUCUUAUAACAGUGGCCCACGCAUAGAGCGAAGUAUGUCAAGACUUUUUUUUAAAUUAUUCUUUACAAACAAUUAAUAAGGAACUUUGUUUCAAAAAUACAACAAAAAUUUCUCAAAUCAGAAUCAAAUAGCCAUAAAAAAUCAAGCACGCGUCAAGUGAAUUUUUAUCAGCAAUAACUAAUAUAACAGUAUGAAAAUAAAAUUAGUUUUCGAUAUGACGCGAUGGGAACGGUGACUGAGAGUUCGAAUUAUAACAAGAAUCUCGUAAAUGGUCGUGGGUGAUGGAAAAAAUCUUAAUAUUGGACUGAAAAAUUUAAGUUAUACAUCCGCGGGAAAACCUAUAUACCUAUCGCUCGUUCAGUUCGGCACGUAUAAGUAUUUCGAAAAUCAGGCCAAGUCAAUAUUAAAACGUAGUCGAGAGCAACCCUAAAUGGACAGCAUAAUUUAAGUAAAUUAUAUAUAAACCGACUUUUGCACUCUUUUACCCCCGUCUAUUGCAUUUUAGUGCGAUUAAUCAUUUUCUCCCCAUAUCCCGUUUAAUCCCUUCAGCUCUCCUGUACAUAUUUUUACGCAAGGGAGUAACGGUGCAUAUUUUAAAAUAAAGGGUUCACAAGCCCCAGAAUUACUGGACGUAGUGGUAAACGAUAUUAUACAGGACGAUUAUUUUAUCUCACAAGCUAUACGAUAAUCUUCACGAAGUUAUUUUAGUAAAUUUGAUUCUGGUUUACUUUUCAGACAAACUAGUUUACGAUUAAAAUCUUUGCAUAUUACUGAGAUUAAAUAUUAAACGAUUCGGUAGUGAUUAGGAAAAGAAAACCAAAAUAAACGUUAUUCAGAAUCUUCGUUUAUAAUAAUCGUAGAUUUAUAUUAAUAUGCGAUCAAAGAAUCAUACUGUAUAGACGCAGCAGUGUUUUAACAGCGCAGAAAAGUAUCCAUAGUAUUUAUCGUUUUGCCGUUAUUGUCCUUGGGUCUUCUCCUUUUGCAAUUUUUAUCCAUGCCGAUUAUACCAUCAUAUAAUAACUUAUAACUUAGUAUAAUAACUUUUAUAAAAUAUUCUCGUAGGACCAUUAUCGUAGAACUAGAUAAACUUUUUAAAAACUUCAUCCUUACAUUUCCAUCAUCGACCGUUUCUCUUAUGGAAAGUCGUAAUGUUAUACGAUUGCUUACAUUUUUUUUUUUUAAUACGCAGUUAUUUUCUCAAAUUAUUAUACUUUUGAAUAGAAACUAUAAUUUAAUACGUAUAGUCCAUAGUGUUGUAUUUUUUUUUUUUUGUGUAGUAAAACUCGACUUUUUGAGACGGUAAACAUUCUCAGAAAAGUUUCACUAGAUAACUAUAUAAAAGAGUAAUUGAAUAAGAACGAUACUUCGGAGAGAUUAUUUUUCAAAUUUUACAGUUUAUUGCCCAAAAAUUAUAAAAUAAAAUAACUUUGGAAAAAGUUACUAGUUAUUUUAGUAGUUUGUAUCAAGUGUGUUUAUAAUAAUAUUGUCAUUUAAACUUUAAAUUCCGCUGUGGAGAUUUUUGAUUCCGACGAUAUAAUUAUCACAUUCGAAUAUCUCAACAAUAUCAUACGUGCCAAUUACAUUAUUCCAUAACCAAUUAUAAACGAAAAAAAAAAAAAUUCUAACGGCAACUAGUCGGCUGAAAGAAAAUUCGAUUCCAUUGAUUCCACGGAUCUCUGUUACUUAGUGCUUACGAGCGUUUUAUUUUUUUUUUUUUUUUUUUUUGUUUUUACUUUUUUCGCAUUAUUAAAAAGCAACAGCACUCUGUUUACUCCNNNNNNNNNNNNNNNNNNNNNNNNNNNNNNNNNNNNNNNNNNNNNNGUUUUUUUUUUUUUUUUUUUUUUUUUUAUCUAUUCCGAAAUAUUUAAAAUUAAAAUUAUUAUAGGUUAUCGUUCAAAGUUAUAAAAAUGGUUAUAAUCGGUUUAGUAUCGUAUAAUGUUUAGUGAGAAGUGAAAUUUGAAAUGAAGAUGUUUGAUUAAUUCCGCAGAAAAAUAAAUCAAAUUUUCUCGAAAAUCUCCAAAACAAUAAUUGACAUCUCGUGUAGUUAACGUAAUAAUAUAUUUUAAAGCAAAUUUAAUAUAUAUAGUUGCUCUGCCGAUAGAUACUCUAAAAGCCAAUCGGCACUGUGUUAAUGCGCGUAGCGACAAUAUAAUGGAAAUUAAGGAACACCGCCAUGUUAUUUUUUUUUCUUUUUGUUUUUACUUUUUUCGCAUUAUUAAAAAGCAACAGCACUCUGUUUACUCCGACCAGAACUUUCCCUAUUAAAAUGCCGACGACGGUGGUGACAGCAGAGUGUUUCGCCGCACACGAGUCUCGGAGAGUAUAGUGGUAGCUACUCGAAAACAAAAGGCCUCAUAUACGCAUUGUCAAAUAUAAUGUAAAUGAAACUAUCGUUUAAAGACACUUGUAAAAUAUCAUUAUCCACGAAUAUUUUUUAAAACGAUGACGAAAACAUGUUUUAAGUACGGAUAACCAUUGAUGUUCGAUCAGUCCCCCCCCAAUCGAGACUUGGAUGUCUAUACAGGACAAUUUUUAAAUCAUUAGUCGUCCACUAAGAUGUGGAGUAUAAAAUUAUUAUGUGUGUAUUCGAUUCGCGUUUAUUUUAGUCAUUAAAUGGAACAAUACUGAUGAAGGAUCUUACUUGCCCAUAAUGUCUCGUAAAACAUCAAUAAAUACCGAUAUUAAACCUAACCAAGGUCUAUGUUUGAAGCUGUCCACGAAUGAAAAAAAAAACUUUUACGUUUCACUAUUACAUCAGUGGCGUACGCAAGGGGGGGCAUAGGGCUGAAGCCCCCUUCAUUGAUCGUAUAAAUAUAUAUAUACACACAUAUUUGUAUAUAUUUUUCAAGUUUCAACUGUAACAAUAAAUAGACUUUUUUUCCGUAAAAUGUGCUAUUUUCGUGUGUAAAUAAUUUUACACCGCGGUGACACGUCGAACACGCCGAUUAUUAUUCCGGUAAUAACAACGAUGCAUUUAGUCGGUGCGGUAAAGUAUUGGCCGAACCAAUUUCUCCCCGGACCGUGUCCGCGGUCGCACUGUGAGCGGUCUUCGGCGGCUGCGGCGGCGGUCAUUGGCGGGCGUCUACGCUCUCCGUGGUGUCUAACACAACGUAAAACGUUUGCCAUCAUUCAUUUCAUUUGCUAUUUUGCUGCUCGGGUACAACUGCGGAACUCUCAACGUCUCUUUGUUAUUAUUACAACUUUAGUGGUUGGCGUGCAUACGCGGGCUUCCACACAACCUUAGAUAAUAUAUGUGAUUACAAUUGCAAUAUUGAAUUUACUAAACAGACGUUAACAAUAAUUAACGCAUCGUUAAGUUAGCCCAUGGAUGUUGUUGAUAAUACUAAUAUAGCCUUUAAUUAGUGAAAAAAAUUAGGUAGGUAUGUAGAUAAUAUUGUUUUCACUUAUUUCUCGAGUAUCAAAGUAAUAAUAUUUUGUAUAGGUUUUCCGUCCUUUUUUUCGUAUAAAACGUAUCUCAUAGUUUUGCACAUUAAAAUAAAUAUGUAACUAUUCAUUAUGGCAGAAAAGAGAUCAAAUUUUUUUUUUACUUUUAGCUUAAAAAACAGUAGGUAAGUAUGCAAUCCAUAAUUCAUUAAAUUCUAAUUUUGGUUGACCUCUGGCUUUUUUAAUCUCCUACUAGCUUAAAAAUUGUAUUUUACUGCCAACAUUUUUAUAGUUACCUAAAUAUUACUUUUUAGAUUAUGAGUUUAACGAAAAAUGUAUUGAUUUUACAAAGAUAAAAAAUAAGUUAAAAGAUAUAAGGUUUUUUUUUAUGUGAACACUUACAACCAGAAAUCUUACUCCAAAUAUUAAAUAUAGCAUCUUUUCUGAAAGGAAUUUUUCUCUUUUAGAGACGUUUUUUUUUUUUAAAUUCUUAUUAUUAUUCGAUAUAAUGAAGAAAGUCUGUUUCUUUAGGUUAAACUAGAUUAAAAGGUUAAAAAUAAGGUUUUUAUUGGUAUCCGUUUGUAUUCAUUUUUUAUUAUUAUUCAGUUUUUAUUGUUUUAAUUUUUUUUAAAACUAUUAUUGGUACAAUGGAAAUGCAAAUUGUUGUAAUUAUUUUACUUUGACAUAUGUACUGACAAAGACACACCAUCAACUGAGUUCCGCUCAGAAUCGUUUAUUCGGUAACAAUGGUUUAUCGUUGCUUAUAGAUAUACAUUAAAUUCCCAUUUAAAUCCUACCUUCCCAACUUCCUACUUACAGCAGUGGCUACGUGCAAAGUAUGUCCGUCCUUUUUUUUUACAUUUUUUGUGUACCUAUAUUUUAUGUUUAUUAUCAAAACUGAGAAUGAACCUAUUUUAUUUUUUAAAUGUGUGAUAAAACGACCGAUUAAUUAUCAAUUUUCAAGCGCUCCCUAUAUUGAAAAAUUCUGCGUACGUCACUGUAUUUCAUUAGUUUAUUUUAAAACAAAAACUAAAUCAAAUUUGUACGGUAUAUUGAUACGUUAUAUUUUAAAAUAUUUUAUAAAAAGAAGAUUUCAAAAGAUUUAUUAAUGUUAUUAUGCUUUUUUUGUUUUUUUUAUUGAUUUAUUUUUACUGAUUGGUUUAAUAUUCUACCAUUUAUUUUUUAGAUGAUUUCAAAACUAAUAUUUCAUUUUAUUUUUUACGAUUAGAUUAUUUUGAAAAAUGAAUAUUUUUUGACUAAUCUUCUUAUUAUGGAUAAAUGAAAGACCACAGUAAUAAUAUUAGUUGUUGAGCCUUGGGAGAAGGAUAAAUAAUAUUAUUAUGACUGUUCUCCUAAAGUUGUCUUUUAAAAAAUCAUAUUUAAUUAAAAUUCUAACCAAAUCAUGAUCACUGGCUGUUCAAUGCGUGGUAUAGAAUUUUGAAAUUUUACGGCAUUAAUGGUUUUAUUAUUUUCGAUUUUAUUAAAUUAAAAAUAAUUGUAAAAACCUGACAUUUUCACUGAUUUUUAAACUCUAUACAGAUAUUUGAUAUUUUUGAGUUUCUUAAAUUUGUAUAUGACAGGUAUUAUGUGUGUGGAUUAUAUCAAUUGACUAAGAAAUGUUUGACAAUUCAACACAAGGUUCAUUAUAAGUUGUACUUUGUAGUAAAAAAAAAAAGAAGAAAGUUGGUCAUGUUAUUAUUUUAUUUCUAUAAAUGAUUUAAGAUCAAACUUGAACGAAAAUCGUAAAAAUAACAGUAUUUUAAAACAUAUAUAAUCAAACUUCGUUCAGAAUCGUUAGUAAUACUUUAGUAGUAGUGCAUAGUUGCAAACAUAUAAAAAUUAAAUAACAUUAUAUAUUCUACUUUAUCAACUUCCCCCCUUAAAUGGUAGCACACCAGUUAUCAGUAUCAGUUUUUUUUUUUUUUUAUUUGAAACUUAAUUAAAUUUAUUCCGCCUAAUACUUAUAUCUCUGUAUGCGUAUUUCUAUAGAGAAAUUAUUAAGUUUUCCGCUAGAAAGUAAAUAUUUUAGAUUGAAUAUUAUAUUAUAUAGCUUCGACGAGAGAUUUUGUAUGUUAUACUUUAUUUAUUUUUUUACUUAUAUCAUUUCAUAUAUUAUAAUAUGCAGUGUUCGUAGUGUUUACAUAUUUUGUCGAUAUACCUAUAGUCGUUUUGAUCUGUUACGCAUUUCUCUAGAGGUUUUUUGAACUCAAUGUUCCAAAAAGGAUGGUUUAAGUAACCGGAAAACAAAAAAAAAAAUAAAAUAAAACGAACCGGGCUCAAAACUUCCGCGUACCUCAUUAUGUCUCGCGGAAACUGUUCACUUAUUCCCAGUGAAAUUUUGCGGUCCUCUGGCCACAAUGAAAACUACUUAAUGUGCAAUAUAAUAUACAAGCUGGAAUGUAAACUCUAUACGUACGCCCUAAAUUCCUAUACUUACACGAAAUACUUUUUAAUUAUUUUUAUUUUUCCGCAAUAAGCGGCCAAUUACGAUAAUAAUAAGAAAUAUAAACUUAAACAUGGCUAUGUGGACAGGAUGCAUAUAGUAUACGGUUUGCUCUUUACUCUACAUUUUAGUUGGUCAAUGUUGGAAUAAGAUCAUAUUAUUCGGUACCUUUAAUUAAUUAUUUUGUACCACUACACCACGUCAUAUAUAACAUGUAUAGUAAUAUUAUUAAAAUUUAAUGAGUUUUAAAUUUUUUUUUAAUAUUUUUAAUAAUAUUAAAAUAUAAAUUGCCAUCUUUUGGAAAUUAAUUUUAAUUAUAAUACGCCAACAAAUAUGUUCAGUCAUGCAAUGACUAUUUUUACUCUGGCUUUCCGUAAAAUACACAUGGGUAUUAUAAUUUGGUAGGUAUAAAAAAAAUUGUCUUUCUUUCAUCUACGGAACCUUGAGGUUUUUCUAUAGUAAAAAUAAAGAUAGCAGGAUGGCAGGUACACAUUUGGGAUUUUGUAGUGCAGCAAAUGAGUCAUAGUUCAUACAAAAUAAUCAUUACUGUGAUUUUCCAGAAUGACUGUACGAAGUGUUUUAAAUAUUGGCUAUGUCGUAUUCAAGGUUUCAAUUUGAGUUUCAGAUGGGUCUAGAGAGGUUCAGGUAUCUACAACCUUCUCAACCUUAGCUAAAGUUAAAAAAAGCAAUAGGAUGAGCGGUUACAACAUAGACACCACCUCCCUCCAGCUAAGCCACUGGAUGUUUUGUUCUAUAAUUGUUUUAGAAUCACAUAUUACUAUCGUUAUCCAUUGGAUUAACAACUUGAUAAUUAAUGUAACCUUUCCCUAAUGAGUAUAUAUUACCUCAACAACCCGAUCACAAUAAAGUUAAGGUAAAUUAAUUGUGUAUUAUUGAUUUUUGUUGAAAAUUACAAACAAGUCAUAAACAGUACUUAUACUAAUCGCAUACAUAAGGCGACACGAUAUUAUUUCAUUUGCCGAGAUUGCCUGCAGCGUAUAAAAUUCGUAAUACAUACUACACUUCACGUAAGCCGUAAGGGAUGGAUGAAUAAUUCGGAGGAUCCCGGUAAAUGUUCAGUACCUAAUAGUACCUAUAAUAAAACGGUACUCGCAUCUAAUAGGAAACGAACCUGCGUAAUAAAAUUCACAUACAGAAUACUCGAUAAGUUAUAAACGAGUCCAGAGCGUGUUUUUUUUUUUAUCUUAUUAAAACUUUUAGGCCGGUGAGUGACGUGAUUCCACUGAUUUGGAUUCGACGGAAGUUCUCUUCGAUGACCUCUGUGUACUCGUAAAAGUAGCUCGGAAAUCGCGUGACAGAUAAUUUAACUCGAAUGUUGUCAUGCUCUCCAUCCUUUUUAAUUAAUGACGAAUGAUAAUGAACUACGCUUUUUCGUCAUCGCGUUUGAUGAAAUAAUAAUACCAAUGAAAUCGUCACAUAGAUAGGUAUUUAUUAACAACCCAAUUAAAACAUUCAAAGAAAUGUUAUUUUGCAUAAUAUUUGCAAUCCAAUUUAAUUGUGCAAAAGUCCCGCGGAAAAAUAUUAUAAAUGAAAUAUGUUUUGUAUAAAAAACGUUUCAUCUUUUUAAAAUUACCAUUUUCGUGAAUUGAAAAAAAAAAUAAGUAGUUGAUUAAACAUCGAAAUUAAAUGUUUUACGUAUAAUAUUAUGUUAUUACGGUAGAAAGUGGAAAAUGUUUAAUUAUAAAUAUAAUUAUUUUGAAAUCUUAUAUUGAAAAGUUUUGUUAUAUAAUGUCAACAUUUUUAGUUAGAAUGUAUUAUUAUAAGUGUUAAAAAUCAAAAAAAUUAAAAUUAGGACUGUAAAAUUAAUUUAGCUCACCUAUCGGAUAGAGGUGAAGCGUUUAAAAAACUACACCUACGCUUCAUUUUCAUCGCGUGAAAUACUUAUUAAAAAUAUUAUGUAUAUUAAGAAUGUUUUCAACGAAGAAGCUCCAGAGUGAAUGUAAAUUAUUUACAUUUUUUACCAAUAUAAAGUUUUAAACGACAUUCAUUUUUUCUCCCUCCAACCGAAUUUUGCCAGCCCACUACUGCCAUCUUUUAUUUAUAAAUGCAACACACGGAUAACAUUAUAUAUACACGGUUAUUUGAGAUGGAUGCGCUUGUUAUUCUUCCAUUAUAUUCUACUGAAAUGUGUACAAGAAACGAUAUUAAUUAAGUUUACAGUUAAUAAAUCGUUUGAUUAUUUCUUGAAUUUAGGCAUUAGGACGGAUUUUCCGAGUUCAUCGUCUAAUGUUUAUACGUCUAUGGCGCGAGUAAAUGUAUGUGCUUACCGGUAUUUAAUUUUAUUUUCUAUACAAUUUAUUUUUCGUGUUAUAUUGUAUAGCGUAUCAUUUUAUGAGUACGGAUCUCCAAAACAUUUUUGUGCGAAUGUAAAGUUCAAGUUUGCCGAGUCCUCGUGCAUUCACCUCCAACCAUAAUAUGUAUUUUUUUUUACGUUGAUUUUUCUAGGUGAAACGGACAAUCCGGUAUUUGUCAGUAUCGUCGCUAAAACAUAAUUGCUAUUUUGGGAUAUAGCGAUGUGACGGGAUAGGUCGUAUGGGUCACUAAAAUCAUCGUCGCAUCAUUGCAUUACGACGCGGAUAACAACAACAAACACAUAACAGCCAAUACCUAAUAACUAACAAUAUACCUACUUAGGUAAUAAUAAAAAAAAAAGAAAAAAAAAAGGCCGUUGUUUUAGCGGCAUUGCGCGUGGUAUGAGAUAAAAACGGACGGCCAUGAACACGGUGCAGAGUUCUCACGGAGGUGGUGGAUCCGGCAAGGAAAAAGGAAUCGAGGUUA